rnacentral:rRNA from 15 species
CGUCCUAUCAGGUUGUUGGUGGGGUAAAGGCCUACCAAGCCGAAGACGGGUAGCGGGUGUGAGAGCAUGGCCCGCCGCAUCGGAACUGAGACACUGUCCGGACUCCUACGGGAGGCUGCAGUAACGAAUCUUCCGCAAUGCGCGAAAGCGUGACGGAGCAAUGCCGCGUGUGGGAUGAAGCGGUUACGCCGUGUAAACCACUGUCAGGACUUAGGAAGAACUGACCGAGUCCAAAGGAAGGGCCGGCUAAUCUCGUGCCAGCAGCCGCGGUAAUAC